rnacentral:lncRNA from 1 species
GAUUUUUGUACUUGCAAGAUUUUGUGCAAGGAAAAUGGAGCGGCAUGAUCAAGCAUUGUCGAAUGUCAUCUUAUAAGUGGGUGAGUUCUCAAGCUCUACUCACUGAGAAGAAAGGUAAGCUUUUCCACUUUGUCGUAUUAAGUAAUGUAACAUACCGGUUCACUGUAUAUUAACCAUUGUGUAUCGAACGCAAUCUGAGUAAUCUUUUUUUUACAAAAAACACAUAUAUACACUUGUGUAGUUAUAUGAGAUUAAGGUAGCCAAAAGGGCUUGCAGUAUUUUCUUCGUCGCAACAUCACCCUUAUUUGAGAUUGGAAUUGAUGACUUAGUUUCCUUACCAUGAGGCUAUGGAAAUCCAAGUUCUUCCUUUUUGGCAUAGGAGACCUGCCUUGUGGAGCUCCUUUUGUCUGACCUGCAUCUUCGCCCCUCUGUAUGACAAAGUAUUGUUUGGUCGUGGUCACAUCAGAUGCUCCUCUUGAUAAGUUGAGGGAUAAUUUUGAGGUGUCUCAUGAAAUCUAAUCAAAAUUUGCCUUCUCACAAGAAAAGGAGUGCAUCAAUUAUCUAACUCUUAGCUUUUGGCCGUCAUGUAAAGUUUAGCUCACAAGCUGGAUUUGUCCCUAAACUAGCGUACUUCCUUGUCUUUCUUAAGAUUCAACAACAUAAAGUCAUAUAUUCAAUAUGGAGCAUGAGCAGCUCUCGGAAGAACGGUGAAAUAAACAAAAUAAGAAUAGAAAAAUCUGAACUUUUUACAACAAACAUAUUUGUCUUCUAAAAACGUACAUCUUUUUUGCGAAGAAACUAUUGAUUUGGUGAUUUUCAAAAAAGAGCAGUUCCCAUGUUAGUGUUUUAAGAGUACCAUUUUUUCAGAUCACAACAUGUUUUGUUUCUUUAUUACAAUUUACACAUUUAUAAUGCUUGAUAUGCUUGAGUGCUUGGUGGGGGAGCACAUGAGAAAGAAAGAGGUAGAGUGAUCUCACCAUACUGAUUUUUUUUCUCAGUGAGAUCUGAUUUGUUUUAAUACAGUAUGAUGUUGCAGUGCACGUGUACUAAUCUAGGAUCAAAACAUAGGAGAGAGGGGACGGUUCGAGGUGAAGGCACCAAACGUCAGAAAACAGGGGAGGCGGGAGGAGGGAGACUGGUGGAAUUUCUCACUAACUAUUUGAUAGUCAAGUACAAUCCAACAACAUCACCCCUCUAAAUGAAUUGUUGAAUAUUUUGUCAUAUGAUGUUUAUGCAGAUGUUGUUCCAUAACAAUGUAUAACUACUACACUAGAAUAUGUGUAGAAGCUCAGUUCUUGCAUGUGGCAGAUAUUUACAUUGUAUGAAUAAACUUCAGAUGAGAGCCAUUUAUGGUGCAUUCUGUAUUGCAAUGCCAAAUAUCCAUGCACAUGCAACACUUUUUUAUUUUAAUAUACUAUCUUAUGUAUGCAAGUUAUGUAUAACAUGUCUUAUUUGUGUUUCAUUUU